ACUUAAAUAGUUUAAAAAAAAUAUCGAUUUGUGAUGUCGAUGAUAUAUAGCAUAUUUUAGGUU
rnacentral:tRNA from 1 species